UACACGACCGUACCGCAAACCGACACUGGUGCGCGAGAUGAGUAUUCUAAGGCGCUUGAGAGAACUCAGGAGAAGGAACUCGGCAAAUUGACACCGUAACUUCGGAAGAAGGUGUGCCUUUAGUAGGUGAACCAUUUACUUGGGGAGCCCAAUGAGGCUGCAAAAAAUCGGUGGCUGCAACUGUUUAUUAAAAACACAGCACUCUGCUAAGACGAAAGUCGACGUAUAGGGUGUGACGCCUGCCCGGUGCUGGAAGAUUAAAUGAUGGGGUGCAAGCUCUUGAUUGAAGUCCCAGUAAACGGCGGCCGUAACGAUAACGGUCCUAAGGUAGCGAAAUUCCUUGUCGGGUAAGUUCCGACCUGCACGAAUGGCGUAAUGAUGGCCACACUGUCUCCUCCUGAGACUCAGCGAAGUUGAAAUGUUUGUGAUGAUGCAAUCUCCCCGCGGAAAGACGGAAAGACCCCAUGAACCUUUACUGUAGCUUUGUAUUGGACUUUGAACAGAUCUGUGUAGGAUAGGUGGGAGGCUUUGAAGUGUGGUCGCUAGAUCGCAUGGAGCCAACGUUGAAAUACCACCCUGGUGUGUUUGAGGUUCUAACCUAGGUCCAUUAUCUGGAUCGGGGACAGUGCAUGGUAGGCAGUUUGACUGGGGCGGUCUCCUCCCAAAGUGUAACGGAGGAGUUCGAAGGUACGCUAGGUACGGUCGGACAUCGUGCUAAUAGUGCAAUGGCAUAAGCGUGCUUAACUGCGAGACUGACAAGUCGAGCAGAUGCGAAAGCAGGACAUAGUGAUCCGGUGGUUCUGUAUGGAAGGGCCAUCGCUCAACGGAUAAAAGGUACUCUGGGGAUAACAGGCUGAUACCGCCCAAGAGUUCAUAUCGACGGCGGUGUUUGGCACCUCGAUGUCGGCUCAUCUCAUCCUGGGGCUGUAGCCGGUCCCAAGGGUAUGGCUGUUCGCCAUUUAAAGAGGUACGUGAGCUGGGUUUAAAACGUCGUGAGACAGUUUGGUCCCUAUCUUCCGUGGGCGCUGCAGAUUUGAGGAAGCCUGCUCCUAGUACGAGAGGACCGGAGUGGACGAACCUCUGGUGUAUCGGUUGUCACGCCAGUGGCAUUGCCGAGUAGCUAAGUUCGGAAGAGAUAACCGCUGUAAGCAUCUAAGCGGGAAACUCGUUUCAAGAUUAGAUCUGCCGGGGCCUUGAGCCCCCUAAAGAGUCGUUCAAGACCAGGACGUUGAUAGGUCAGGUGUGGAAGC
rnacentral:rRNA from 1 species